UCUCUCUCUCUCUCUCUCUCUCACACACACACACACACACACACACACAAUUGCACGCAUGAAUGCAACCAACUGCACAUGGAAGAGGGUUGUACGGGUUCUAAAUGAAAUGUAUGCUUAGAUAAACCAAGAAAAAUAAAACUGUAGCCUUGCAGGUCCCUUGUUUCUUUGUCUGCCUUAAUAUCAGGGUUGUAGUCCCCUUCUGUCCUGCCAAUUUUUUUAGAGGAAAAAAGGAAACUGGAGUUAUUGGGUGUACCUUGGAAAAAAUAUAGUUAACGAGAAUUGUUAAAUUAUUAACCACCAACUCAUCUAAAGGUUCAAGCUAUUGGAUAGAAAGGUAGUUUUGGCUUUUAUAUUAUUAUACUUGGUCUCAACACACUCCCGCUCAUGUCUAGAUUUCAUUGCAUAAUUUAGCCAAACAUAUGCAAGUAUUUAUGAAUUGAGAUAGAUGUGACCUUUCUUGGCUAGUAGAUAAAUGUGAGGUUUUAACAUAUAACCUUUACCUGCUUUAAUGGUAUGCUGAAUUGUUGAUUGCCAACAUUAUAAAACCUAAAUUAUUAGAUGUCACAACCCCAAGGAUAUAAUAGUAAUUGUAUUUAUUUUAAUUGUACUUUGCUGCUGUAGUAGUUUGUACCUUUCAGUUGUAUUGUAACUGGAAGGAUAGAAAAGCCUAUAAAUAGGCUAAAUCAAUUAGAGAAUAGUUAUUAUUGAGUAAUAAUAGAUUAUUUUCCCCUCAAAUUCUCUCUCUCUCUGUUCUCUUUGAAUUCUCCCUCCCUUUCUAUUCUCUCCCCCCUGAUUUCUUCCAAAUUCCAUAACAAACCCUAGGCUAAGUCCAGAUACCUAACAUUUGGUAUCAGAGCCGGUUGAUUCUUGGUUGUGAUUCUUGCAAUUCUUAGCAGCUGUUCAAGGUUCGAAUUUUGAAGGCUAAGCUGAUCAAGAUCCAGGCGAACACUGGAAGGCCGUUUCAGUGACAAAAUUCAGGUGAAUUUUUCAUUCAGGCUUUAAAGGCGUGCAAAGCAUGACCAAUCAAUUCUCGGCUGCUACAUUUCGAUUCAUGCGAUAUUUCGAAGAAUUUGAACUGAGGAAAUGGCUGUCCAAACUUUGGAAAGAAGUGUUCAGACAUUUGACUGAAAUUUUAUGAAAAAUUUCACUAACCUCAACCAAAAGCUAGACAAAAUCAUGAUUUUGAUAUCACAGAAGUUUCAGAUUAGUCUACUAGUGGAAUUUCUUUCAAGUUCCAUUGUAGGACCGAUCUGAAUAGGCACUUGAAUCCUACCUAAUGCUUGCAAUUUGCAGGAAGCUGAUGAAUUAGCAUUGGAUCAGGCAAUUCCGAUUGAAGGAUCAUCCAUCUGUGUGGAUACUGGUGCUGGGGUCCUUCCUCAGAUUUUUGACUUACAGGAAACUGAGAAUAAUCGAAAUUGGAACAAAACAUUGAUUCAUUCAAUAUGCCGGUUAUGAAUCAAGUUGGAGAUGAGAGUUGUGAUGAAGAGAUCUUUCAUGCAUCUGAUGAGGUCUAUGCCUGUAACAUCUAUCCUAGGUUGGAUCAAGUUUUUGAUGCUCCACAUGCGGUCUAAGGAGUUCUGAUUGAGCAAUUCAGACUGGAGCAAUCUUAUAUUGGCUGUAAGGAAACUGAUCAUAAGGCUGUAAGGUCAUAAGACUAGGAAUGUUGGACCUUUGGAAUCCAAAAAAUCAUUACAAGAGGUUUAAAUCUAAAUAUGGAGGUCAUGUUUCAGCCAAUUAGGAAUUUGCGGGACAUUCUCGUCUCUCCUUCUACAAUCAAAAUGCCAAGAAAGGAAUAGCAGUUGCAAGAAAAGUCAUUGCGACACCAUUGGAGGAGAAAUUUGUUGAAAACAAACCUUUGGUGCACACUAGUAAGCAAGAAGCAACAGAUGCUUUUAAAGCACUGUUGGAGUCCGUAAAUGUUGAGUCCAAUUGGACAUGGGAGCAGACAGUGCAAGUAAUCAUCAAUGACAAGAGGUAUGGUGCUUUAAGAACUUCUGGUGAGCAUAAACAGGCAUUCCCAGAGAAAGAAGCUGGGGACUGAAGAAAGGCAUAAUGACUGCAUGAAGAUCAAAGAAAUUACUGGAAUUUCUAUUAGGAGGAAAGCAACUAGAUUUUUUAGGAGAACUCAGAAUACCAAUCAUUUGGAAAAGGUAAAUGAGAAAGGGGAAAAGGAGAAAAAGUCAAGAAGGAAAAAGAAAAGAGAAAAGAACAAGCUAAGGCGAAGGAUGAUCCAAAUAGUGAAAAAAGGAAUUGGAUGAAGAAACAUGACCAGUUGCUGUAAUUUUUUGAGGACAAGAAUGUAAUGAAAUACUGGGGCACAAAAUACUGAGAUCAUGAGAAGGAGAAGAAGAAGACUCUCGGUAAUUUCACUAAUCCAGAGAAAAAUGAAAACAUAGCAUAACAAACAAGAGGUGCAGCUAUAUAUAUACAUAGCGUAGCACCCUUAGUAAUAAACAGUGCCUAGGCGCCUAACUAACAAAUAACCAUAAGAACGGAAACACAAUGAAUGAUAAAACUUAAGUACAACAAGACAAUCAAGAACAACAAUACAAAAUACUUAUGCUUCCACAAAGAAAUCUCUCAAGGAGGGGGGAUUGUCACAACCCCAAGGAUAUAAUAGUAAUUGUAUAUUAGAUGUAUUUCUUUUGAUUGUACUUUGCUGUUGUAGUAGUUUGUACCCUUCAAUUGCAUUGUAACUGAAAGGAUAGAAAGGCCUAUAAAUAGGCUAAAUCAGUUUAGGUAUUGUUAUAAUAACAGAUUCUUUCCCUCUCUCUCUCUCUCUCUGAAUUCUCCCUCUCUUUCUAUUCUCUCUCCCCCGAUUUCUUCCAAAUUCCAUAACUAACCCUAGGCUAUAGCAAAUCAACAACAUAUCAAGUCUUAAUCCCACUAGGUAUGGUUGGCUGCAUAGUUUCUAGGUCACCAACCAUCUCUAUUUAUGGCCACAUCUUUUAUAAGAUAUCAAGUUUUAAUUCUGUUAGUGGAGUUAGCUGCACAGUCUCUAGGUUUCCAAUCAUCUCUAUUGUUGUCCAUAUCUUUUAUAAGACUGUUAUAACACAAAUCAUACCUAACAGUUUAUAGGGAAGUUUUUCUUGGUCUUUUUCUAUCUUCUUUCUUAAAAGUUUGUGCCAUUCCAUUAACUCUUUUCACGGGAGCAUCCUCAAUAAUCUCUCCAUCUUUUUGGAUAAUUCAUCCAUGGUAUUUGAAGUGAUAUUUUCUUUGAAUGACUUGAUCUUCAAGUUUCUUUUUUUGAAAACAACAUUCAUGUUUCACCAUAGCAUUAUCUACACUUAUUCUUUUAACUCAAUUUACAUUUCAUAUAUUCGAUUUCAAUCAACUUGAUUUAAAUCCUUUUGAUUCCAGAGUGUCCCUCCAUAUCUUAUGGUUUGCUCCAUUUCUUUUGGGUGAAUACAUCUAUAGAACAUAUAAUUUCUAUCCUUUCCAAAAUUACUAAGCUGUCUUUAACAUAUUAUUUGUUCCUUCACUUCAGCAAAUAUAUGUAUACAUAUAUAAAAAAUUUGUUUUGCCACAUUCAUUGAAUAGCUUUGAAGAUAUAUUUUUCCCAUCUCUCUUUGAUUACUCGAUUUACUGAUACAUUUUUAGUCUUCGCUUGAUGCACUUGGGUCAAAUCCUUUGUUGUUCUUUUUCUUGCUUCAGCCAACUUAUACACACACACACACACAAUAUACAUAUUAUCUUUCUUCAUCUUUUGUGUCGAAUGGUUGUACAGUUUUCUAUAAACUUUUGACAUUGCUUGACUGACAGACUUCUUGGCCUCCUUUUUAGCUGAAAUAUCAUCAUUAACUGCACCUGAUCCUAACCAAGUUAGGGUCAGCCGCUCCUUUUAGCUGAAAUAUACCCUUUAAAAUUUUCCUUAUUAGGGCAUGUAUUCAAAGUCUUGUUGCAACUUUUCCUGGUCUUGAUUUCUUCUUGCAACUCAUAAGUACUUUUAAAUGAACUUAAUUUUUUUUUCUUAGACUUGCAAAGCUAGGACCACUGCAAAAAUGGCAUUCCUUAUUAUGCACGUUCUAAGAAGAAACACCAAUUAAGAAUAUCAUUUCUUGUUCAUUUACUUCAUUUUUGGAACAUGUCCUGGAAUUUGAACUUGCAAUGCCUUAUUCUUUAAAAUCAUGCAGUCACGGCCACAAUUCAAAUAGGUAUAAUCAAUGUAGCUUUAUUUUUAUCUGAAAAAUUGUGGUCAUACUAAAUUAUCUUGACUAGUUAGAAUUGUGAUUUGGGAAAUUGCUAGAAGAAGUUAUUGCUAAAAUUAUCUGGACAUAUUAUCUAGUUGUCUAACUAUUACAUCCUUCAAUCUUCUUGCAAAAUCAUCCCACUUGACCAAAUAUUAUUGGUUCACUUGUCAUGUGGUGAGUGAUUUUCUUGCUUCGAAUCACGCAUGAAAAGUUUUGGGUAAAAACAACUCCUUUUCUUUUUUCCCAUUGUCAGUGUCUUUGGUUGGGGGAAGGUUAUUUGUCUUACAUAUGUUCUUUUUUUUUUUUUUUUUCUUUUCUCCCCUUUUUAUUUUCUUUUUUUACGGGGUAGGUGGGGAGAUGACUGUAGA